UACGGGGGGAGCAAGGCGUUGUUCGGAUUUACUGGGCGUAAAGGGCGCGUAGGCGGUCGUGACAAGUCACUUGUGAAAUCUCCGGGCUUAACUCGGAACGGUCAAGUGAUACUGUCGGACUAGAGUACAGAAGGGGCAACUGGAAUUCUCGGGUGUAGCGGUGAAAUGCGUAGAUAUCGAGAGGAACACCUGCGGCGAAGGCGGGUUGCUGGGCUGAUACUGACGCUGAGGCGCGAAAGCCAGGGGAGCGAAACGGG
rnacentral:rRNA from 1 species